CCGCCGUCCCCUCCACCUCCUCGUUCGGCUCGACACGUCCGUUAGGGUUAGGGCUCUGCGAUCUUUGGUCCUGGCUGGCUCCCUUUCUAUUUUAGGCCUCUCGUAAUUUGAUAAGGUUUUUGACUGGCAGGAGAUCAGAUUUGAUUAUAUUCCAUAAGGUUGUGUCUUAAGGUGUUCGUCUAAUCUGAGAUUCGCAGUAUACUGUGCCAGUGUUGAGGACAUUUAGGAGAUAAGGCUCAAUUGCAGCACAUGGUGUGUUGUUUGGGUUUCAUGCAGCUGAUUACAGUUACAUAUUCAGGAUAGUUGAACUUGUAGCAAUUUUGUUUAAUUUGUGUGACACUGGCACCAAGGAUUAUGGAGCAGAUUAUUGAUGGAUU